CGCUUUAUUUGUGUGACCAUCAUUUCACUUCGGUUCCCCAAAAUUUUCUCUCAUAUAUUUACCUUUCUGCUUUCGACAAUGUCUCGACGUGGUGGCGGUGGUCGUAGGCCGGAUUCUCGCCUUGACCAGCCGACUCAGGCACGGGCGCCGUCAUUCCAGCGGGGUGGCGGCGGAGCCGCUGGACCACGCGGCCGAGGUCGUCAAGGUCAACGUGGGGGUGCUGGUAGUGGAUCGCAUUCCGGCUCCGGUGCAGCCCCGUCCUCACCGCACACCGCUUCGACUUCGACGGAGCCGGCUCCUUCGUCUCCGUCUGUUUCUGCUUCUGCUCCUUCUUCGUCUUCAGUCUCUACUCUUGUCGAAGAAACGGAGCAGAAACUGACAUUGGCGGCACCAGCGGCGGCUACACUUCCGCCUUCGUCGUCGCGGGCGGUGAGACUUCCAGUGAGGCCGGGAUUCGGAACCCGUGGCAGAAAAUGUGUUGUCCGAGCAAAUCACUUUAUGGUGCAACUUGCCAAGAGAGACAUUCAUCACUAUGAUGUAAGUCUACUUUUAAUUUUAACUUCGUUAUUUUUGAAAACGUUUUGACUCUUUUUAUUUUUUAUUUUCCGUUUUUCUCGUCAAUUAAGGUUUCAAUUGAUCCAGAGGUGACGUCACAAAAGAUCAACAGAGAAAUUAUUUCUCAGCUGAUUAACUUAUAUCGGCUGACUAACUUGGGUGAACGAAUACCUGCCUAUGAUGGUAUGAAGAGCAUUUACACUGCAGGGCCGCUGCCUUUUGAAUCGAAGGAAUUCAUUAUCACGUUACCUGAUAGUGAUCCUCGUCCCAGCUCAUCUGCCAGCCCGGGGUAUCUCAUGCUUUUAACACGUGUGUUUCUUGAAUAUUGUUGAUUGUGAGUUUUCUUGAUUUAAUGUGUCGAGUGAUUUCUUAUGCAGAACGGAGCGUCAGUUUAGGGUGGUUAUCAGAUUGGCGUCGCAGCCUUAUGUUUACACUCUACAGAAGUUCAUACAAGUGCUUGAUGUUGUUCUCAGAGCAGCUCCAUCAGAGAAGUAUUUAACCUUAACUGUGUUAAUAAAAGUUUCACUUUUUGUUAUGUAUGAUAUAGGAUGUUCCGUGCCCAUGCCAGCAUUUGCUUGUUCAUGCAACUGAUUGAGCAUUUGAUUUCUGAGGAACAAUUUUAUUAUUGUCUAUUUUGUGCCUUGAACAAUUUAGGUUUUAGAAUGGUUAAUUAAUGAAAUGAUGAACUUCUGCAUCAGGCAUACAGUUGUGGGAAGGUCAUUUUUCUCAACUGAUCUUGGACCAAUGGGUCAGCUUGGUGAUGGCAUUGAAUAUUGGCGUGGAUAUUUUCAGAGUCUUCGCCCAACCCAAUUUGGGCUAUCUCUUAAUAUUGGUUUUUCUCAUUAUAUUUUAUAUAAUUUGAUGCUGCUUAUCUUUAUAUUAUCCAAGCUUGAUUUUUUCUUUUUUAGGUGUAGCACUGCUACAUAAAUAUUUGCUUUUGCUGUUGCAGAUGUUUCAGCCAGCUCCUUUUAUAAGCCAAUUCUAGUUACUGAGUUUGUUCAGUAUUAUUGCAGCGACUUAUCACGUCCUCUUUCUGAUCAAGUGCGUCUGAAGGUAUUGUCUAGUCUUCUUUCGUGAUGUCAUGGUUAUAAUUAAUUUAGUAUCAACUUAAUGAGCUAUCUAUUGGGCGGUUAAAAGUUUUAAUUGAGGGCUGCAGCACCGUAAUAUAUUUGUGAUAAGAGCCUUUUCAAAGAAUGAUCACAGAUUUGUUAGGCAAACCGUUCAGUAAUGUUUUAGAUGCUGUGUAUAAUUAAUUGCAAGUAAUUAGCAGUUUAAAAUUUCAAAUUUCUUGCAAAUUUUGGAUAGGGUAAUUUCUUAAUUUGUGGCUGAACUGGUGGGUAGUGAGUAGUGUUGUUCUCGGCCAUUGAAAUCUAAAUAGAAUGAGCUCCCAAGUCUAGGGGGAAUAGAAUGUUGAUGACAGUGUUUGAUGAUUAAUGUAGGAAGUUGGUGUAUAAUUUGGCCUAUAAUUCUGAUGAUAAAGAAAUGAGAUCUUGAAAUGGCGGUUUUAAAAAUCUUCCACGCAUUCAUUUGCAAUUGUACAGUUAUCUUGAUCAACUUAUUAUCAUUCCGUUACGUAUAUUAGCAAUCUUUUGAACUAUCUGUAAAAUUUUUACUUUUGAUCUAUUUUGGCCGCUAUUUGACAACCGCCCUUUAAUUAUUUUCAAAAUUAUUGCUGGGAAUGGGAUAGAGACACGUGGUCAAUGAUAUUAAUAUAAUUGUUUAAUUCUUGACUUCUAGGUGAAAAAGGCAUUGAAGGGAAUAAAGGUAGUGCUCAGGCAUAUGGGGUACAACUUAAGUUGCAAGAUCACUGGAAUAACCAGUCAACCGAUGAGCCAAGUAAUGUAUGUGUGUGUGUAAUUAACUGAUAUACAAGUGUAAGAACACUGUCCAACUUGUGGUGAUAGAGUGUGAUAACAUAACUUGGUGGUUUGGUUGUGUUUAUGUUGGUCGAUUUGUUUAUGUUAGCUGAUUCUUGAGUCCCCCACGCCAUUUGAGAAGCAUACUUUAUGUUGCCUGCUUUUGUCGUCAUCUGAAAUCCACAUAUGGUUAAAUUUGUCUUUUGUGUUGUAUUUUAUGUAUGAUUGAACUACUUGGUGGUAAAAAGUUUGGUGGAUGUGUCUCAAAUCAAUUUCUCAAAUCUGAUAUGUGAUAGUAGUUGGCUACUAUGUAGUGCGAUGGUCACUUGAUAUUGCCUGUAACAGUGAUGUAUCCCUCCUUCCAUGUUAUAGUAGGCAUUCACGUUAUAUCUUCCCUUUGAUUGUAUUUGCUAGGUUUACUUGUGACAAUGAGACAAGGUCGGUGGUUCAAUAUUUUCUUGAAAAACAUAAAAUUGCGCUUCAAUUCACGUCAUUGCCUGCCCUUGAAGCUGGAACUGAAGAGAGGCGCAUUUAUUUGCCAAUGGAGGUUCUAUGAUCAAAAGACUACUUUCGUUCUUUGUGUCUGGAAAAUAAUUUAUUUAAGACUUAUUUAUAGAAUAUUUUUGUUUACAGCUUUCUAGGAUUGUUGAGGGACAGAGAUAUACUAAAAGAUUAAAUGAAAGACAAGUAACUGCUCUUUUAAGAGCAACCUGUCAGCGUCCUCAGGAUCGUGAAGCAAAUAUACAGAUGGUAGAGCAUUGUUGUAAUUUCUUACAUCUGUGGUGGAUCUUUUUUGGAUGAUUAAUCUGGGAGCUAUCUUCUUGUGAACAAAGAGAGUUUCUGAUUCUUGCUUCUGGGUUUGACAUUCUUCUGCAGAUGGCUAGGGAAAAUGCUUACAAUGAAGAUACUCUUGUGAACAACAAGUUUGGAAUUCAAGUGGCUGAUGGUCUUACAUCGGUUGAUGCUCGAAUCCUACCUGCUCCAAUGGUAAUUAUGUGUCGUUUUGUUUUAUUUGUAACAGAUAAUGGUACUUCCAAUCUCCUUAUGCUUAACUUUACCUCCUGUAAUGCUGCAGCUUAAAUAUCAUAAAAGUGGCAGAGAAGCAAGCGUGAAUCCUGAUUUUGGGCAAUGGAACAUGAUUAACAAGGUGAAUUACUAAUUAUUAUUUUAUUCCGUAGUUGUUGAUUUGUGCUUAGGAAGAGCAUAGGGAAGCAGUUACCACUUGUUUAAAUUGGUUGAGGGAUGUUUAUUGACUGAUGGGUAGGAUGGGUUGGAAGUUGAUUUGCUACAUUUGAUGCAAUGUGGAUGUGCUGCAGUUCUUUUCCAACCAUAAUUUUUGAUUUUUUUUUUCCAUUUUAGCAUGCUGUAAUUUCUAUUUAGUUAUAUACUUUUUCAUCUUUGACAAGCAUUGUAUCUGAUAUUCACUUAGGUAUUUGGAUUGUAUGUGCUUGGUGUUCAGUUCAGUCCACUUUGCCUUCUGAACGAGAAGCUUUUAUUUUUUCACAAUGAAUUAUUUUGUGUAAUUUUGGUUUUACAGAAAAUGUUCAAUGGUGGGACAGUGCAAGUUUGGACUUGUAUGAACUUCUCCACACGUUUGAACCACGAUGUGAGCGGGUUCUGUCAACGGUUGGUAGACAUGUGCAAUAAAAAGGGAAUGGUAUGGUAAUGUUAUUUGUUUUGCAAUUCAUGUUAGCAAAUCAGGUUAAUGAUCUCUCUGAACCGACUUUUUUCUUUUGGGGGGGUCUGUGUUUGUCAUGCCAGGUAUUUAACCCGCGGCCUGUCAUUCCCAUAAGUUCAUCCAACCCAAAUCAAAUUGAGAAGGCACUUGUAGACGUUCGCAAUAAGACUACUCAGCCAGGGAAACAGCUUCAGCUGUUGAUAAUUAUUUUACCUGAUGUUAGCAGAUCAUAUGGUGAGUGAUAAAUUUAAUCCAUGAUUAAACUUUUAUGUCAGCUUUGGUUUUGUUCAACAUUAUCGGCUUUCUGCUCGCAGGAAGAAUUAAGCGAGUUUGUGAAACAGAACUUGGGAUUGUUUCACAAUGCUGUCAGCCUAAGCACGUAUCCAGUGGCAAUAUGCAGUAUUUUGAAAAUGUGGCUCUUAAAAUCAAUGUGAAGGUUUGGUUUGCCCCCAUUUUUUUGUGUGUUCAUUAUCAUGGUUAAUAUUUGAGAACAAAUACAAGGGUUAGCAGGAAAACAUGUAGGAGAUGAAUAUAUAUAUAUUUUUUGGCAAUUUAAUUUCAGUCUUGCUUUGCUGGAAUUAUUGUAAUUUUUUUUCUUCAAAUAAUCAAAUUCUGAUGUUCAAGAUAUUUUUAUAAGUGUUUGGGAGUGCCAAAAUUUCUUGUUAAAAUUGAUAGGUUUGCUUAUUGGUCCUGGAGAUUCAGUUUACUAUUUGUAAUUUUAUCAGGUUGGAGGACGAAACACUGUGCUCGAUGAUGCUGUUCAGAAAAGAAUUCCUCUUGUGACUGAUAGACCUACAAUUAUAUUUGGUGCAGAUGUCACCCAUCCACAACCAGGAGAAGACUCUAGCCCUUCAAUAGCGGCCGUAUGUGCACUCAUUUUCUGUUUCUGCUUUCUAGUAAUUCACUCUGUUAAAAGAUUGAAUUGACUGAGACAGGUGGUGGCCUCAAUGGAUUGGCCAGAAGUAACCAAGUACAGAGGACUUGUCUCUGCUCAGGCACAUAAUGAGGAAAUUAUCCAAGAUCUCUAUAAAUCUAUUAAAGAUCCUCAGAGGGGUUUAGUUCAUGGAGGGAUGAUCCGGUUAGUAGACAUGGAAGUACAUAUCAGGUGCCUUAUUAUUAAGAGAACCUUAUGCUUCUGUUUGUCUUUUACAGGGAACUGUUAAUUGACUUCAGAAGAUCAACCAACUUCAAACCUCACAGGAUUAUUUUCUAUCGGUAAUGGCUGUUUUCAACGUUAAACUGCAUGUUUUGUAUAAUGUUACUGAUGUUGUUUAAUUUAUGUGCCAGAGAUGGUGUUAGUGAAGGGCAGUUCAGUCAGGUUUUGCUCCAUGAAAUGAAUGCUAUCCGGCAGGUAAUACUGAUGAGUUCUGAAGUUAAUACAAUUUUCUUGUGUUCUGGAGAUUUUCAAUGUCUAGUUUCAGUUGAUUUCUUGUUGAUGACUUUUGUUGCAACAUGCUAAAUUGACUUAUUUCCAGGCCUGUGCCUCAAUUGAGGAGGGAUAUGCGCCACCAGUUACGUUUGUUGUGGUACAGAAAAGGCAUCAUACUCGCCUUUUUCCUGCUGAUCACAACAGACAUGGUCUGACAGAUAAGAGAGGAAAUAUUUUACCAGGUUCCAAGUUUGCUUUGUAUCAUUAAUCUUUAUUUUCUGUUUGCUUCUUUUGAGUAUUCACAAAGGUUGGGAACCAUGUUGUUGCUUAACCUUGUCUUUGAUGAAUACUUUUCGGAUGUUCUUGUGUUAGGAACUGUUGUUGAUACUCAAAUUUGUCACCCUACAGAAUUCGAUUUUUACCUCAACAGCCAUGCAGGAAUUCAGGUUAAAAAAAAAAAUUAAGUUUGCUCUUUCAAUCCAGGUUAAAAAAAAAAAAAAUUAAACAAUGUUCCCCCUUCCCCCCCCCCUUUAAUUUUUAAAUUUGUUGGACUGAUUAAGGUGUUUAUUCCAGGGAACCAGUCGCCCAACUCACUACCAUGUAUUGUAUGAUGAGAACCGUUUUACUGCAGAUGACUUGCAAAUGUUAACAAAUAACUUGUGUUACACGUAAUAUGUUUACCUUCUCUAUAAUCGGAUUUAAUAUUGCAUUGUUGAAGAAUUUAUCUUUCGAGUGGUUAUUUUGUAAGUUUUUGACUCGUGGCCCAUUUUCAGGUAUGCAAGGUGUACUCGAUCAGUUUCAAUAGGUCUGAUCCUUUGUACUUCUAUUGUUUUACUAAAAACAUUUUGAGUCAAUGAAUUAUUAUUAUUCUGGCUAGCAUUGAUUGAUUUUUUUUUUCUUUUUAUUUUUUGUAUUGGCUGUUUUCAUAUGGCAGUGCCUCCUGCAUACUAUGCACGUUUAGCAGCUUUUCGGGCUCGUUUUUAUAUCGAGGAUGAAACAUCUGCGGGUGGAUCCACAGGAGGGACUAGGAGCACGGCGGAGGGGAGUUUGGCUAUCCGGCCUCUUCCCGUCAUCAAGGAUAAUGUGAAAGAUGUAAUGUUUUACUGCUGAAAGUAGUCUCCAGCAUCAAUCCUCUUUGUCAUGGUUUUCAUCAAGGCUUGACGUGUUUUGGUAUAUGGAGUACCAGCGUGGUGCCCUUUUUGGACAGUACUGUUAUUUUGGGAGUAGUUUCAAAUUGGACAUCAAGGGUAGAAACUGAUUCUCCUUAUGUUAAAAAUGCUAGCUGCAUAUUGUCCUGGUUAAUGCUGGUUAAUGCCUUGUAAAUUUAAAUGCCAAAAAACUUCAUUUCUUGGUGGGGUUAUUUGAUCUCACUGCACGCUUUUUUAAAUUAACAUUUUUGGACAGUGCUGAUUAUCUCACUGCACUCUUUUUUCAAUUAACAUUUUUAUUCUGAAAACAUAAUUGGAUCAAUUAUAUAUUUGAUCUUAUUUUCUCUCUCGAUCUCUUUCCCUUAACCAAAAUUUAUUGUAAUAUGUGAAGUACGUAUUGAAUUUUCUAAUUAUUCGAAAAGUAAUAAAUUCAGCUCAAUGGUAAUUAGAAACAAGAUGAAAGAGACAAUGUUAAUCAUUUAGAAAUAAAAAUAAGAGUUUUUAGACUGUUCUAAAUUUGUUAGAAUUUUGAGGAAGAUGAAGUUGAUUUUGGAGAGAGAAUAAAAUUGAAAAGUAGUUUAAGCUUUGAUCAUUACUACAGUAGACAGAGAAAAAUUAGAGCCAAUUUGGGAUUGCGAAGGCAUAUAAAAUAAGCAGCUUGUAGUGUACAGGUGAAAUAAGUUGUUAAUAAAAAAAAGUAGUUUAAUGUUUGGCAAAUUGUACUGUUGUGGUUGCUGAGAAUUUGAAUAGUACAAUACAUGCGUUUGGUAAAUUAUAUUACGAAAGUAUUGUUUUAUUAUAUAAUGAGCAAAAUAAAUACAAGUUUUAAUUACUUUUUAUUUUUAAAGUAUGUUUAAUAAAUUAUUUACUUUUUGAGAGCUCAAGCAACUCCGUUGCUUCUUCCACUUUUGCAGCCAAUGACUCAAAGUGAAUCCAACAGCACGAGCAGCUCGGAGUGAUCCAUUUCCAAAAGCAUCUCAGUAAUCUUUGGUGAAAGAUCACACUGUCCAAAAGUUAAAAAUGUACAUCAAUGGUAGAAACUGAUUCUCCUUAUUUAAAAAAUGUUAGCUGCAUAUUGUCCUGGUUAAUGCCUUGUAAAUUUAAAUGCCAAAAAACUUCAUUUCUUGGUGGGGUUAUUUGAUCUCACUGCACUCUUUUUCAAAUUAACAUUUUUAUUCUGAAAACAUAAUUGGAUCAAUUAUAUAUUUGAACUUAUUUUCUCUCUCAAUCUCUUUCCCUUAACCAAAAUUUAUUGUAAUGUGUGAAGUAAAUAUUGCAUUUUAUAAUUAUUCAAAAAGUAAUAAAUUCAGCGCUAUGGUAAUUAGAAACAAGAUGAAAGAGACAAUGGUUAUCAUUUAGAAAUAAAAAAUAAGAGGCUUUCGACUGUUUUAAAUUUGUUAGAAUUUUGAGAAUUUAAAGUUGAUUUGGAGAGAGAGAACAAAAUAAAAAGUAGUUUAAGAUUUGAUCAUUGUUACGGUAGACAAAGAAGAAUUAAGGUCAAUUUAGGAUUGCGGAGGCAGAUGAAAUAAACUGUUUGUGUUGUGCAGAUGAAAUAAGUUGUUGAUAAAAAAAAUAGUUUGGUGUUUAGUAAACUGUGCUGUUGUGGUUGCUGUGAGUUUAAAAAGUGGAGUACAUGCAUUUGAUAAAUUUUAUUACGAAAGUAUUGUUUUAUUAUAUAAUGACCAAAAUACAUAUAAGUUUUAAUUGCUUUUUAUUUUUAAAGUAUGUUUAAUAAAUUAUUUAUACAUUUCUUUUUUUCUUAUUGUUGUUUUAUAUAAUGACCAAAAUAGACAUAAGUUUUAGUUACUUUUUAUUUUUAAAGUAUAUUUAAUAAAUUAUUGAGACUUUUUUUUUCUCAAAUGCGUAAAAUUAUAUUAAAAACUUAAUUAAAAAAAUCUAGAGAACUUCAUAAUUUGUUACAUAAAAUAUGAUAAAAAUAAAGUUAUGAUUCAUAUAUUAGGGUUUAUAAAAUCUAGGGUUAUAAUAGGAAAUUUAAAAAUGUAUGGUAUCUUAUUAAAUAAGUUGCUUAUGAAAAGCAACUCCUUACCAGCUUUUAAAAAGCUACUGACAAAAUGCAGAAAAUUAUAAAAUAAGUUGUUUUUACAAAAUUUAACAAAUACUAUUUUUAUUAAAAAUUAUGAAAUAAGCAAGUUAUUGAAUUUCAACUGCAAUCCUAAACUGACUCUUAGUUAAUCAAAUAUUUUUUGUGACUUUUGAGAAUUAGUGAAUUAAAAUAAUAAAUUAUAAUUAAAAAAUGGUUGUAAGAAGGAAAAUUAAAGUUUGCCUCAAUUGUUUGAUUAGGCGAAUGAUGCAUGUGUACAUGUAGUUGUUUUUAACUAAGAUGUAUAAAUAGAUGAACAAAUACUGCAAAAGCGAAAGUAUUGAAUUAAAAAAUGUCAUAAAAAUGUGGGAUAUUAUCAUUUUCCCACUAAAUGUAUUCUGACAUAUCAUGUCAGUACCAUGGUUUGGUAAAACUAUUAUUUUACCACCAAACGUUUAAACUGUUAGCAUUUUUCCACAAUUCCAUUAAAACUUAGUUAAUAUGUAACGGAAAAUUCAUAAAAGGUCAAUUUUACCCCUGGAGCGUAAAAGAUGAUUUUGCCCUUUAAGAAUAAACAACAACAAAUGAUGAUUUAAUUACAAAAAUAACCCCAAAAGUAGCCGAUACAUUCAAAUAACGGCUACUUUUAUGCUUAUAAGAGCUGUUGCUGGUUUGGAUCACGAAUGCAUGACAGAAAUAAUCCUUUUGCUUGUCGUGGGCUUCGAGGGAUGACCAACUAGAAAAUUCACUGAUUAAGUAUUGGAAGCAAUGCAAAACAUCAAACAAUUUUAGAAGGGAAGUGCUAAACUUCAGCUCCCUUGCAAAAGGAUUAGGACCAAUUGAAAGAUUUUCUAUAAUCUCAAAGGUACAACAAAAUAGUUUCUUUGGACUCCUCAUGAACUGCAGUUAGCAUGCGGAGCAUUGCCUGUUAGAGUUGACUGUUAGCAGUAGCAAGUUUCUGGGAAUUAAGUUUCCACUUUAGAGGGUGGAGUCCUCCAGAAAUAGACGGGUAAAGAGUAAAGACUAGAGAAAUUAGAGAAAUAGAAGAUUUGUAUUUUGGAUUCAGGGAACUCCCCUUUUUCUUGUUCAUUCAUUUCCUUAAAUACUCCUCCAAGAGAGCUAUAGACAAAACAUAUUCACAGCACAAACUUUACAGCACAAUAUUCUCUCUAACAAACUUGACAGCACAGCAAAACAUAAUUGCAAUAAUAGUAAAUAACAAAUUCAGCAUAAUAUCUUGAAGAGUAUCUAAGUGCUGUAAUCGGUUGCACCAUCAUUCCCGCACAAAAUCUUGAAGCUUGAAGGGAACUUUGGGCUGUCUCUUAGGCCUAGCUUGAGCAAUCGGCUGUGCAGUGGUUGUAUCAUUACCACCCUCAUGGAAAUGAGCCUUGUCCUCAAGGCUAAUAUAAGGAAAAGUGGCGUGGAAAGGUUCCCAAUUCUCCCAUGUAGCUUCAUCAGGUGUCGUGUUAGACCACUGCAUUAAGACUUGCUUGACCUUUUGCUUAUUUGUCUUGAUAGUUUGCUGGUCCAAAAUGCAUAAAGGUAUGGAAUAAGGGUCUGCAGUUGGGGGUGGGUGGGCGGGAAUAACUUCAGUAGGGUUUGGACAUAACUUGAGGAUUGAAAUGUGGAACACGGGAUGGAUACAAGAUUCAGGUGGUAACAAUAAGCAAUAUGCAACCUUUCCAACUCUUGCCGUUAUUUGGUAAGGACCAUAAUACUUCUUGGCAAGCUUGUUACUUAGACGGUGAGCAAGAGAAGACUGUCGAUAACGUUGAAGCUUAACAUAAACCCAGUUACCAACCUCAAACUCCUUAUCGCGACGAUGACGAUUUGCUUGGGUGCGCAUUCUUUCAUGUGCUCUUUGAAGGUUCAGCUUGACAGUAGCCAAUAGAGCUUCUCUAUCCAAUAAUGCAGAGUUUAAAGAAUCAAUAGGGGUGUCUUCGCUGGAGUAUCCUACAAGAGGUGGUGGGGGCCUGCCAUAGACAACUUGGAAUGGUGAAAAUCCUGUAGAGCUGUGUGUACUGGUAUUGUACCAAUAUUCGGCCCAUGGUAAAGUUGCAGACCAUCUAUUUGGAUAGUCUCCAGUAAAUGCUCGCAAGUAUGUCUCGAGACAACGGUUGACCACUUCUGUUUGCCCGUCAGUUUGCGGGUGAUAAGCAGUGCUAGGCCGUAACUCCGUUCCCUGCAAUUUAAAUAGUUCUCGCCAAAAUUCACUAAUGAACAGAGGAUCACGAUCAGUAACAAUGGAUCUAGGGAAUCCAUGAAGUCGAACGUACUCGCGAACAAAAUAUUCAGCCAAUUUCGGUGCAGUAACUCCCUCCGGCAAGGCACAAAAAUGACCAUACUUGGACAGUCUAUCAACAAUGACCCAAAUAAUUGUCUUAUCGUUUGAUUGUGGUAAAGAAGUAAUGAAAUCCAUUGAAAUGUCUUCCCAGACUCUGGAUGGUAUGGGCAGCGGUUGUAAAAGCCCCUUGGAAUAGAAGUUUUCUGGUUUGGUUGCUGACAAAUUGAACAUUCUCGAAUAUGUUGCUGUACCUCUCGGCGCAUUUGCAGCCAAUAAAAAUUAGCUGAUAAUCGAGCAUAAGUCUUUUGUUCCCCAGAAUGCCCGCCAAUCACCGAGCCAUGGAAUAGGUUUAGAAGGCAUUUUCUGAGCUUCAUACUGUUAGGAACAAAAAUUCUACCCUGAUGGUAAAGUAAGUCUUGUUGAAUAGAAAAAUUAUUAUCUGUGCAAACCCCUUUCUCAAUUGACUACAGAAUUUGUUGGGCCGUGUCAUCCAAAGCAAGGGCAUCUCGAAUUUCAGUUAGGAAAGUGCUAGUAGUGACUGAAAUUGACAUCAGAUUACCUUGUGCUUCGCUUGUCCAUCGUGAAAGAGAAUCGAGUCCACUAUUUUCCACCCCAGCCUUAUGCUCAAUUGUAAAUUCAAACCCUAACAGCUUUGUCAACCAAGUUUGUUGCUUUGGUGUCUGUAUCGUUUGUGUAAGGAGUUGCUUAAGGCUUUUAUGAUCAGUGAAUAUCGUGAAAGGUCGGCCCAAGAGAUAUGGUCGCUAUCGUCGAACUGCUGCUGUGAUUGCAUACAUCUCACGACUAUACGCAGAUGUAGAUUGAAGUCUUGGUGGCAACUUCUUACUGAAAUAAGCUAUUGGAUGUCGAUUUUGGGAGAGAAUCGCACCCACAGCGAGACCAGAGGCAUCCGUUUCCACUGCAAAGACUUUGGAAAAAUCUGGUAAGGCUAAGAUAAGAACUUCAAUCAGAGCACGUUUGAGACGCUCAAAAGCUAAGUCAGCUGCUUCACCCCAGUCAAAUCCAUCCUCUUAAGCAAAUCAGUUAAUGGGCUUGUAAUUUGGGCAUACCCCUUUACAAAACGUCGGUAAUAUCCUGUGAGUCCCAGGAAACCCCUCACAGCAGCAAUUAUUUUUUGUUUAGGCCAAUUUAAGACAGCUUGAAUUUUGGUGGGAUCAACACUCACUCUUUGGGCUGAAACAAAAUGGCCGAGAUACUCUAAUUUAGCUUGGCCAAAACUGCACUUGGAUAACUUAGCGUACAAUUGGUUUUGAUGGAGCAGCUGGAGAACAAUUUUGAGAUGGUAAAUGUGUUCCUCAUGGGAUCGGCUGUAAACAAGAAUGUCGUAAAAAAAAACUAGAAUAAACUUACGAAGAUAAGGUUUGAAAAUAGAGUUCAUUGUGGCUUGAAAUGUGGAGGGGGCAUUGGACAGCCCAAAGGGCAUUACAAGAAACUCGUAAUGACCUUCGUGUGUUCGAAAUGCAGUUUUUGGAAUGUCGGGUGGGUGGAUCCGAAUUUGGAAAUACCCACUCCGUAAAUCAAUCUUUGAAAAGAUGAUGGCCCCAUGUAAUUCAUAUAGUAAUUCAUCCACUGUAGGUAUUGGAAAUCGAUCCUUGAUAGUGAUGGCAUUUAGAGCUCUAUAAUCGACACAAAAUCGCCAUGUCCCAUCUUUUUUGCGAACCAAGAGGACGGGUGAGGAGAAUGGGCUGGUGGAAGGUUGUAUAAUUUGAUCUUGAAGCAUUUCUUGAACUUGCCUUUCGAUUUCAUUUUUUUGGUAAUGGGGGUAGCGGUAUGGUUUAAUAUUCACAGGAGUAGAUUAUGGGAGAAGAGUGAUUUUGUGGUUGAGGGGUCUAUUAGGUGGAAGGCCUUUUGGGAUGCUAAAAAAAACUGGAUACUGGUUUAGUAGUGUUAGGAAAUCUUGGUGAAGAGUGGAAUCCAUGGAUUGGUGAAUAUUUUGGGUUGAAGGUGGACUGUCUGGUUCGAGUUCUAAACGGAAGUACUGAGCUAUUGAGGUAGUCUGUUGUAGUCUUUUUAGUUGGUGGAAGGAUAUAGGAAUGGGGUGGGGCCGAAUGUUUUGAGCUCCUUCAAGUUUAAUAGGCUGCCCUUUUAUAUGUAAAUUCCAUAGUUAGGGCUUUGUGAUCAGUGAUAAUUUUCCCCAACUUCUCCAGCCACUGUACCCCUAAAACAGCAUCAGCUCCACAAAAAUCUAGUAUAUGAAAGUCAGCUUCAAAUUCAACACCCUGCAUCUCGAGUUUAACUUUCGAACAAUGACCUUCGCUACGAAUCCGUUCCCCAUUGCCGACAGCUACCAAAAACGUCAUUGUCUUAUCAAUAGCCAAAUGAAGAAAGUGAGCCAACCGCGGGUGGAGGUAAUUAUGUGUACUCCCAGUGUCAAUUAAUACUGAUAAAGGUUGAUUGUUAAUUUUAGCACUGAGUCUGAAGGUUUGGGGACCAGUUGUUCCAAUCAAAAUAUGAAAAGAAAUUUCGGGGCUUGGAUUUGCUGUUUCUUCGGUAGGCACCGUAUCCUCCACCAAUAUUUCUUCUUCUUGAAAAUUUUCUGAUGGUUCCUCUGUCAACAAUAACAGAAAAGGGCGAGUGCGACAACGAUGACCGGGCUUGAAUCGUUCAUCGCAAUUGAAGCACAAGCCUUGGGCACGACGGGUUUGCAUUUCGGCGGUCGUGACACGACAAAUAGGAAGGGUUGUCUUUGGUGGGUUUGAUGGAUUUGGUGGUGGGAGGGGUAAAAGUGAGGGCCGUGGGUCUGGCCGUAUAUUUGUUUCGUUGCGUGUAAGUAUGGGUAUUGGUGUAUUGGUUGAUUUCCAUGAAAUGGAUUUUUGGUUAUAGGACAGCAAUUUAUCUUCAAUCAAUUUGGCUAAAGCAAUUGCAUCAGGAAGGUUAGAAGGUUUGUGAAUGGCUAACUCAUUUUGAAUGGUUGGUUUUAAACCUGAGAUGAAGCAAUCUAAAAUGGCAUCUGGGUGAAGGUUGGUGACUAUGUUGCAGAUGUUUUCAAAGGCUGAUUGGUAAGCCUCUACAGAGCUUGUUUGGGUAAGUUUGAAUAGAGUGGCUCUAUGAUUAAUAUAGGAGGAAGGGCCAAACCUGCUUUCAAUAGCUCGGGUGAGAGCUGCCCAAGAAGAUAAUUGUUGAUUCUUGUGCAUCCAUUGGAACCAAGAGAGUGCUUGGCCAGUCAUAUAGAAACUGGCGAUGUCAAUCCGCUGCUCCUCUGGGGUUUCAUAGAAAGAAAAGUAUUUUUCAGCUUGAAAUAUCCAAUCUAAGGGAUUAGAUCCAUCAAAUGUUGAUAGAUCACAUCGUAUAGAUCUUGUGCUUUGUGUGGGUUGUAGUUGAGCUUGUAUAGGUGGUGUGUUUUGUGGCGUAGGUGGUGCAGAGGCUGGUGGGUUUGUGGAGGACCCAAUCUGAGAGGGUGCCAUCACGGUAACGCUGGCAGCAAGCUCUGCUAUAGAGUUUUGUAGUGCUUGUUGUGCACCUUGUAGGUUUUGUUGUGAACUUUGGUUAAUUUGCUGCUGUUGUAUUAUGAUUUGGCGUAGGUCUUCAAGGGAUUUUGGGUCGAUUCUUUGAAUUGUGUGACCUGUUCUUCAAGGGCUCGAUAUCGUGUUUGCAUACCCUCGUUUGCCAUCUCUCAAUGAAAGCACCAAAUGUUAGAGUUGACUAUUAGCAGCAGCAAGUUUCUGGGAAUUAAGUUUCCACUUUAGAGGGUGGAGUCCUCCAGAAAUAGAAGGGUAAAGAGUAGAGACUAGAGAAAUUAGAGAAAUAGAAGAUUUGUAUUUUGGAUUCAGGGAACUCCCCUUUUUCUUGUUCAUUCAUUUCCUUAAAUACUCCUCCAAGAGAGCUAUAGACAAAACAUACUCACAGCACAAACUUUACAGCACAAUAUUCUCUCUAACAAACUUGACAGCACAGCAAAACAUAAUUGCAAUAAUAGUAAAUAACAAAUUCAGCAUAAUAUACUUUGAGACCAGGAACGUGACAAAAGAAAGCUUCAGGAGAUUGCGAGUGAUAAUGUCCAUCAUGGCCCACAGCUCCGUAAAGGGCUCUUACUGUUAAUCCUGGGGAAUCACAUGAAGGCCCUUCAAGGACAAAACAAGAGCAGAGAGACGGGGAGGAAGAAAAACUAAAAAAGAAAUAACCAGAGGGGAGCAUUGGACAAUAAACGGAGCAACAUAUUACCUCCACAAUUAAAUUGAUUUCCACUCCUGUAUCUGAACUUAGCAGCUUCAUUGACAAUCUACCAAGAAGAUUAUGUCAACUAAAGGUGAAUUAUAAAACCACAAGAGAUGCUAGUUUCUGGAAGAGAGCUAUACCUUAUCAAAAGCUGGAAAAAUAUAAUCUGCAAAUUGAAUUUCAGCUAUAGCUCGAUUUCCCUAUCACACAUGAAAUGAAAGCAAGGGAUAUGUACAUCAUAUUAGAGGUUCCUGAGGAACUAUGCUGAGAAUGACUUCCCAGCUUGUGCAUUUUAAACAUAAGUUUCUGAAACAAACCAUAGCUGCCAGACCAAUGGCAAACCCAACGAUGCCCUACAUACAAAAAAGAUAAUACGAACCUAUCAAAUAUGCAUAGCACAGAAGAGUCCAAUAUUAGUGCGUGGAAAGAGAGUGAGACUCUCUAUUUGACAGUAAACAUUUCACGUGAUAUGUCCAAAAUACCCUUAUAAUGUCAGCAUAAUUUUUAUUCAGUUAACGGAAUGGUGGGAAAAUGCUAACAGUUUAUACGUUUUGUGGUAAAGUGAUGGUUUUACCAAACCGUGGUACUGACAUGAUGUGUCAGAAUAUCUUUAGUGGGAAAAUGAUAAUAUCCCUAAAAAUUUCUUCAAAGCCGAUGAUCGUACUAUAAGUACAUUUAAGCAAUCCACAAGACUAUUAAACUGUGUAUGCUUCCUUUUUUUUCUUUUUACUUUCAAUUACUCGUUAUUCUUCUUGUACAGUGGCUUCUGAAUUACUUUCUUUACUUUUUGAGAGCUCAAGCAAUUCUGUUGCUUCUUUCACUUUUGCAGCCAAUGACUCAAAGUGAAUCCAACAGCACGAGCAGCUCCGAGUGAUCCAUUUCCAAAAGCAUCUCAGUAAUCUUUGGUGAAAGACCACAUUGUCCAAAAGUUACUUACAUGUAAAUAUCAUUAAACCGAAGCUUAAAGCAGGUGAAAAUUGUGAGUACAUUCGCAGAAGGUUAAAACUUCAAUUUACUCCCUUAUUCUGAAUAACAAUCUACUAUUUACCUCAAAAAUAUAAAAACACUAAUUUAUCUCUUUUAUCAUUAAAAAGAUAAAAAAAAAUUAUUAUCAACACACUUUUCGUUUGCAGUGGUGGACCUACAGCAAGGCUAGACCGGGCGGUAGCCCGGUCAAACUUAGGAAAAAAUCAUUCAUACCCCUUAUUUUACUAUCAAUUAUAGACAAUAAUAGAGAUUUUAUUUUGUUUUCAUACAUGUCCCUAAUAUAAUUAUCCUUAUAUUUUCAUUAAUUUUAUACUAUAAUAGAGUUUUUAUUUUAUUUUUAAAUAUGUCCUCAAUUCAAUUAUAUUUUUUUCCAAUUGAAAUUAGUGACUUAUUUUAUAAAAUGAGUAAAUUAUAUAUUUACUAUAUAGAUAAAAAAACAUUAGGGGGUAAAAUGUUAUUACUUUAAUUUAUUUUAAAAAAUUCUAAUUGAAAAAACAGUAUGUCAAUCUAAUAUAAAAUUGUCACUAGUAUUAAACUACUUAAAAAAAAACAUGUAGUAACAAUUAUCAACAUUUUCAUAAACUUUUUAUGUAAAUUUUGAGAUUUUAUUUAUUAGUUAUAUUAACUAAGAUAAAAUUUGAAUAUUUUGAGGAGCUUUAAUUUGAUAGAAAAAUCAUCAACAACUAGUUCUUUAAAGAGAGUCAGAGCGUUUGGCAAAGAAACAACAAUACCUAAAUACGUUUUUGUUAGGUUGAAUUUAGUUUAUAAUUGAAACUUUUGACUAAUAAUAUUUUUAUAAUUUAAAAAGAGGAAUAAAUUUGAAUUGUUUAAUUUAUUGAAACCUGGUAAUUAAGUACUUGACUUCAAACAUUAAAAUUUUACUUCAAUUUUUAAUUGAUUGUAAUUACAUGUAUUCAUUUAUUUCAGCUUAAAAUCCUUAAUUAAUAUAUUAAUCCUUAUAUAAUCCUUGUAUGAUUACAUUUUAUUAGAGUGAGAUUUCAUAAUUGUAAAAUAGUGUUUUAUUUUUUUUAUUGCUUUUGUUUUCUACUCUUUUUAUAUAACUAUUUUUGUUUAUAACUUAUAGCGAUAAGACUUUUCGUGCCCCCCCUAUUUGGUGCAGUUUUUUCUACUUAUAAAUUUUUAUGCUCACUUUAAAAUAUAAUUUUUUUAAUUUAGCCCGGGUUAAUACAAAUUCCUGGGUCCGCCCCUGUUCAUUUGUCCUUAUCUUUUGAACGAAAAUGAAACUAAACUGAAGAUUAUCAUUCUACCCGAAGAAGAAUCGAAGUUGACCCUUCACAAAAAUAUGAGUAAUCACCUUGAGUUUCUUCACCAGCGGGUAGAGUCUUUGGCCAAGAAUAUCUUGUUGGGGAAAAAAUUAGGUUUUUAAAUUUUUUAUAAAACCUUUUGAAGAUCGCUCUCAUAUAAUAUAUAAGAAUUUGUAUUCUAGAAAUCGUACCUUGAAAAACCGAGUUGGCUUUUUCCGCUGAAGUGAUUUAGGCUCCUAGAUCACGAUCCGCCACCACCACUCCUAUUAGAUCACGAUCCUGCACCACCACGCUUGUUAGAUCACGAACUGUCACCAAUGAUCUUCCAGGUUAUGACUCAGGUUCGAUCUGCACUUGACGUGUGGACGCCUUUAUCACUACCAAAGCAACUAGCACGAGAAAAUUUUUCUCUCAACAAUUAGAGAGAAAAAUCUUUUUCUCAGAUCUGUAUAAAGUGGCUUCUCUUUUUUCCUUUUGAGAAAAUAAGCUUUAUAUAUCUCCCUUUAGUGAAAACCCUAAGCUCCAAGAAUGCCCAAAAUAAAACUCACGUUACUUUUCAUUUAAUAGGGGACCCACCAUGUAAAAUAACAUAAGGCCCCUUACACAUAAGCUUAUUAAAUGGAGCCUCCCACUAAAUGAUAUAUUUAGGCUUUUGACCCAAAUAGCUAGUUAUCUUGCUUAUUAGUCCAGUAGUGGUGCAGUCAAUUAAAUGAGCUAACCCGGGGAUCAUUUGGGAACAUACAAUAGUAGCUAUAAUAAUUAGGCCUGUAAUUAAACUAGCCUAAUUAUUUAAUUCCAAAUCUACUCCACUAAAAGAUUGGAACUGACUUCCAUAAUUGUAUGCUCGAAUAAUAAUUCGUCCCAAGCCACAUUGAUUUCUUUACUGCACAAUCCUUUGUACCACAUCGUUAAUUAAAUUGAUAUCUCAACUGUCCAAUCAAUUUAAUAACAUCUUAUUCCUUUAUCCUUACUGGUUUUCUAUAAUGAUCAUUUUCAACAUACUAAAUAUGUUGACACACUCUGGCCAGAGAAUUCUAUGAUCAAGUGCCGAAAACCCAUCAAGACAUGUGUUGUACAAAUUCUAUAUUGUUAAUCCAUAACUCCAAUACUCAUAAUUGCUCCCACUAAGAUACCGAGUAAUCCUGACCACAAGGAUGUGUCGUGCCCAUUGGUAACUCAAAUGGAAUAACAAUUACAAUCAUGAAAUCAUAAUUAACUCAAGAUUAAGAUUACAGUAAAAUCAAUGCCUAUGUGAUUUAAUAAGUCUGACAGUUAUUACAAAGUUAAUUAAAUCUCAUAUGUGAUCCUGUUCAAUGUAGUCGUACUACAUCAACAAAUUCAUACAUGAUUAAGACAAAUCAUUCAAUGAAUUUAUUACAGUCUAUACCUAAAUAAAGUGCCCAACUUUAUUUAUCAACUGCGAACUAAAUUUAUUUAAUCAUAAGAUAACUUGUAUUUAUGUCUUCUGUGAAUCCACAUGGUAAUCACAUAAAUACAUAUAAUAUGAUUAAAUGGACUUUAAUACAAAUAUUAAUGCAAUUAAGAUAUUUGAAUAAAAUACCUCAUCUAUUUUAUUAAUCAGAAAAAUUAUUUAUUACAAUUAAAUAAACACAUAUGCUUUUAAAGAGCAUAUUUUCCCAACAAUCUCCCACUAGCUCUCAAAGCAUAUUUGGCAUCUCACGCAUGCCCAUGGAUUCUAAGUGCAAGUUAAAAGGUUUCCCAGGUAUGGCCUUAGUAAAAGGAUCUGCCAAGUUUUGCUGUGACGCAAUCUGAGUAACCUCCACAUCACCUCUCUGCACUAUAUCCCUUAUAAGAUGAUACUUCCUCUCAAUAUGUUUUUGUUUCUUGUGGUUCCUUGGUUCCUUAGAUUGAGCUACCGCACCACUAUUAUCGCAAAAUAGUUUCAGGGGUGCAGUUACAGCAGGUACCACCUCAAGAUCUUGUAGGAACUUGCGGAGCCAUACAGCUUUUUUUGCAGCUUCGGAUGCAGCCACAUAUUCAGCUUCAGUUGUGGAGUCUGCGAUACAAGAUUGUUUCACACUCCUCCAACUAAUAGCUCCACUUCCCAAUGUAAACCAUAACCGGAAGUUGAUUUUCUGGAAUCCUUAUCUGACAUAAAGUCAGAAUCAGUAUAACCCACUAGAAUGAGUUCAUCACCAGAAUACACAAGCAUAUAAUUUUUAGUUCUUUUAUAUACUUCAUUAUAUGCUUGACCGCAGUCCAGUAUUCAGGUCCAGGAUUAGAUUGAUAUCUACUAACCAUCCCUACUGCAAAACAGAUGUCUGGCCUAGUGCAAAGCAUGGCAUACAUGAGACUUCCCACAGCUUCUGCAUAGGGAACUCAUCUCAUUCGCUCUAUCUCUUCAGAUGUUUUAGGUGAUUGAUCCUUAGAGAAUGUAAUUCCAUGUCUGAAUGGUAAUAAACCAGUCUUGAAAUUUUCCAUGCUAAAUCUAGCCAAUAUCUUAUCGAUAUAGACCGCUUGAGACAAGGCUAAAGUUUUAUUCUUCUGGUCUCGUAGUAACUUGAUACCAAGAAUAUAACUUGCCUCUCCUAGGUCUUUCAUAUCAAAUUGCUUUGCUAACCAACUCUUUAUUGUAGUCAAUACUCCUAUAUCGUUUCCAAUUAGGAGAAUAUCGUCUACAUAAAGAAUUAGGAAGGCUACAGAUUUUUCUUGAAUUUUCUUGUACACACAUGGUUCAUCAAUGUUCUGAAUGAAUCCAAACGAUUUAAUCGCUUGAUCGAAUCUGAUGUUCCAUGACCGGGAUGCUUGCUUUAAUCGAUAAAUGGAUCUCUGCAACUUACAUACCAUGUGUUUUUGGCAUUUUUGUAUAAAUCCAUCUGGUUACUGCAUGUAGAUGUUUUCUUCAAGAUGCCCGUUAAGAAAGGCAGUCUUGACAUCCAUUUGCCAAAUUUCAUAAUCUAGCACUGCAACAAUGGAGAGCAGAAUCCUGAUGGAUUUAAGCAUAGCAACCGGAGAAAAAGUUUCCUCAUAAUCGAUUCCCUCUUUCUGAGUAAACCAUUUGGCUACUAAUCUUGCUUUAAAUGUUUCCACCCUUCCAUCUACUACUCUUUUUCUCUUCUAGAUCCACUUGCACCCUAUAGGUUUUACCCCAUUUGGUGCCUCUACAAGUUCCCAGACUUUAUUGGAAUACAUAGAUUCCAAUUCUUGAUUCAUGGCCUUUUUCCAAAAUUCAACAUCUCUAUCUAUUAGAGAUUCGUUGUAACUAGUGGGAUCUUGUACAUGUUCAUCUGAGAUAGCCGUAUAGGUUUCUCCUAAAAGCAUGUAUCUCGCAGGUAACCUAGUUACCUUCCCACUACGACGAGGUUCUAAAAGUGAUGGUUGUUUAGGGUUAAUCAUGUGUUGAUCAUCUGGUUGUUGUUGUUCUUCCUAUUCUGUAACAGGCGUUGAAAGCUGAGCAUCAACCUGAUCACCUAACAGUUCUUCAAGUAUUACCUUACUCUUAGGUUUGAAGUUAUUCAUAUAGUCUUCCUCGAGGGAAGUGAAAUGUGUGCUCACGAUCACUUUCCAAUCUUGAGGACUAUAAAAUAAACCUCCCCUUGUUCCUUUAGGAUACCCCACAAACAUACAAACCUCAGAACGUGAAUCCAUUUUGUCUGCCUUUGGUUUCAGCACAUGUGCUGGUGAUCCCCAAAUACGAACAUGUCGUAAACUUGGUUUACGACCUGACCAUAAUUCUAUUGGGGUUUUAGGCACUGACUUAGAUGGAACUAAGUUCAAAAGGUAAACUGCAGUUUCCAGUGCUAGUCCCCAAAAAGAGAUUGGUAAUGACGAAUAACUAAGCAUAGAUCUCACCAUAUCCAAAAGAGUUCUAUUUCUUCUUUCAGCUACCCCAUUUUGUUGUGGUGUUCCCGGGGCAGUCAACUGAGAUAUAAUCCCAUUUUCAACUAGAUACUCUUUGAAAUCUCCUGAGAGAAAUUCACCACCUCGAUCAGAUCGAAGUUUCUUUAUGUUCUUAUCUAAUUGCUUUUCUGUCUCAGCCCUAUACUCUUUGAAUUUCUCAAGAGCUUCAGACUUAUGACGCAUCAGAUAAACAUAACCGUAUCUUGAGUAAUCAUCAGUGAAAGUGAUGAAAUACUCAUAACCUCAUCGAGCUUGUACAUUGAUUUGUCCACAUACAUCUGUAUGUACCAAUUCAAGUGGUACUGUUGCACGUACUCCUUUAGCCGAGAAUGGCCUUUUGGUCAUUUUUCCUUCUAAACAGGAUUCACAGAGUGGCAAUGAUUCAUUUUCUAAUGGACCCAAGAGCCCAUCUUUGAUCAUUCUCUGUAUCCUAUUUUGGUUUAUAUGACCCAAGCGUAAAUGCCAGAGGUAACAUUGGUUGGAAGAAAUAUUUCUUUUCUUAGAUAAAUAUGUAUGCUCAUCAUUAUUUAUCACUGUGUCAUGCAUAGAAUGGAUCAUUGGACUUAAAUGAUAUAAAUUAUCUUCCAAUGUACCAGAACAAAUAAGUCUCUUAUUUUGAAAAAUAGAAACAGAGUAUCCAAAAUUUACAGUGUACCCUUGCUUUGACAAACAAGCUACUGAAAUUAAGUUCCUCUUAAUGUCUGGAACAUAAAGACAAUUAUUCAAAACUAAAGUCUUAUUAUUAAAAGAUAAUAAAACAGAUCCAGUCUUCACUGCUGACACGAACUGUCAUGUCCCUAACUGCAGCUUGACGCUUCCUUCACUUAUUUUCCUAGUUUCCUGAAACCAAUAAAGUGAAUUACAAAUAUGAUUAGUUGCUCCUGAAUCCAACACCCAAGUGUCAAUAGGAUUCUGAACUAAACAGACCUCAAUUACAAAAAGAUUUCCCAUACCUGAUUUCACAAUCUUAGGGCAAUCCUUUUUCCAGUGACCUUUCUGUCCACACUUAAAGCAUUUGCCUUUCGGCUUGCUAUCUUGCUUGGUAGACGGUUUCUUUUUCCCAGCUUUCUUCUUACCUUUGCCUUUCGGCUUAGGCCCAGAAGAUGAACUUUUUUCAGUAAUAUUUAUGCUUCCUAGAGAUUUCUCAGCACGAUAGAUCUCUUCAGCAGAAUGGAGUUCGUUCAUCAAUUCAGUUAAGGUCAUGUUUCUUUUGUUCAUGUUAUAAUUGACCUUAAACUCCUUGAAUGUUUCUGGUAGAGAUUCUAGCACCAUGUCAAUCUUUGAGUUAUCAUCGAUUUGUGCUCCUUGAAUCUCAGCCUCAUUCAAAUAGUCCAUCAUUUUGAGGACAUGAUCACGAACUCUUGUGCCAUUCCCCAUUUUACUGUUCAUAAUUCCUUUCAGCGCUGCUUGUCUCGCUGAGCGAGUACUCUGCCCGAACAUCUGUUGGAGACUAUCCAUUAUUUCAGUGGCAGUCUCCAAGUUCUGAUGUUUGGUCUGCAGAAUAUUAGAAAUCGAGGCUAAAAUGUAGCACUUUGCCAUUUCAUUGGCCUUUUGCCAUUUCUCAUAAAGCCUCCUCUGAUUUCUAUGAGUAUCAUCCGCUGGAACUGGAGGGCAUGGCUGGGUUAAGACAUAUUUAUAAUUUUCAGCAGUCAGGACAAUGAAUAUAUUUCUUUUCCAAUCUAUAUAGUUCUCUCCAGUGAGUUUGUUUUGACUCAGAAUAAUAGUAAGUGGGCUUAGGGAAGACAUUUUCUGAAAAAUAAAACAUCCAUGCAUAAAUAAUUUGAAAUAAUAUUCACAAUAAAUGACAAAAAUGCAUAAAACCAUAAAUGCAUUUUAAUUUAUUGUAACGAUAAUCUAGUUCCGCUUUGACAAGCUAUCCGGUGGGGAAGUCAUGUCCAUACUUACUAGACUCAAUUACCCAUUGGAUUAUUUACUUUCAUGUAGAGACAUGAUAAAUAAUUAUCGUUAUCUUUUUGGGCCUAAAUUUGUUAACAGAGUUUCGUUGGGAAGGUUAAUAACAAAUUUUAGUUGAGUGUAUAACCAUUGUUUCAAUCUACGUAUUUUUCAUAUCAAUAGUCACCGUUGGGGUGAACAAUCGAUUGAAAAAUAUUUCAAUUUUAUCUUUGAAGAAGUUCAUCAAAUAAAAUAUCUAAUAUAUAUACCCUCCGAAGGGAGCAUCACCGUAUCAUGAAGUCGAGGUAUAUAUAUAAUUUUAUUAUUGAACUAACAAUGGAGCCCGUGGGAAAAUUAUCUUGAAUUUUCCCUCUCCCACUCAAUAUUUUAAAAUUGGUUUUUCCUUUUUAAAACAUACAUAUUGUUAAUUGCAUGCUUCCUAUAAUAUUAUCUAGAUGAUAUCAAAUAUUAUUAAGCAUACACAAAUUUCAAACAAUAUUAUGAAAUUCAUUAUUAAUGAAUGACAUGUAUCAUUAUGCAUAGAGUGGCACUACCUAUUCUAUAUGACAUUGUUAUCAUGGCAUGUGAUCAUCCAAAACAUAACAUAUAGAAAAACAAUUAAAUAAUCUUAAUUCAUGGCUUUCCUAAUAAUGAAAAAAUACAUUAACCCUAAGCCUAAUCUUCAUUAGGCUUCUUGUCAAUGUCCAUCUUCCAUAAGCUUGUCUUUGUUAAUGGACUAAGAGAAAUUGGGCUUUUAAAUUUAUAAUUGGUCCAAUUUUAAUUUUUGGAAGGAAAUAAAUAAAUAAUUAAAGUUUUUUAUUAAAAUAAAAUUUUUAGACCAAAAAUAAAUUUAAUGUGUUUAAUUUUAUCUAUGCAUUUUAAUCCAUUAAGCCCAAAUUUCAAUUGGGCCUAAAACUAGGAUUCUUUAAGCCCAAAAUUAUUUUUGGACUUAAAUGCAAAAAAUUUAAACGUGUCUGCCCAAAAAGAAAAACUAUGGAGCCAUAGGGACCUCAAUGAUAGAAACGAUUGAAACCCUAAAUCCAUAUUUUUCUCUUUCCUUUCUUCCCCAGCCGCCACCAGCAGACUGUUCAGAGACGCCGGCCAUCUACGACGCAUCUCCGACACCGAAACACCCGCCGCCACGUCGCCGGAAACGCACCAAACUCGCGCGGGCAGCAAGCUGCGUGUGCAGCGCGCGCUGCUCGCCAUUGCUGGCCGCGAGCGCUGCUUUGCAGUGUGCAGCUCAGCGCGCGCAGCUGCUGGCUGGCAGCGCGCGCUGCUGGCAGCGUGUGCUGCGAGCCGCGCGCUGCUGCCGCUGCGCGUGCAACGCGCGCUUACUGGCAGCAUGUGCUGCUGGCCGCGCGUUGCUUGCUGCUGGUUGCCGCUGUCAAAAUUUUCGGCCUCCGUCGCUCCGAUCUUGAAAAUCCGAGAUUAAUUUACAAAUUUCCUAGGCCAAUAUAGGCUUACAAAAAUUCUAUAAUAGUAAAAUAAAUCAAGAGGGAAACAUGGUGAUAAAAAACCACCCCUCUUGUUACAGAUCCAAACGAAAAAUACAAUAGAAAAUCUAACCAUGAAUUAAGACAAACCAUAAGCAUGCUUUAUUCAUAUAUUAAAUAAAUAAUAUACAUCUGAAUAAAAUGUGCCACUCUAAUACAUAAAUUUCAAGAUUAAUUUCAUACGAAAUUCUUAUAUAUUAAUAUGAGGCUGCUCUGAUACCAAUUGUUGGGGAAAAAUUAGGUUUUUAAAUUUUUUAUAAAACCUUUUGAAGAUCACUCUCAUAUAAUAUAUAAGAAUUUGUAUUCUAGAUAUCGUACCUUGAAAAACCGAGUUGGCUUUUUCCGCUGAAGUGAUUUAGGCUCCUAGAUCACGAUCCGCCACCACCACUCCUAUUAGAUCACGAUCCUGCACCACCACGCUUGUUAGAUCACGAACUGUCACCAAUGAUCUUCCAGGUUAUGACUCAGGUUCGAUCUGCACUUGACGUGUGGACACCUUUAUCACUACCAAAGUAACUAGCACGAGAAAAUUUUUCUCUCAACAAUUAGAGAGAAAAAUCUUUUUCUCAGAUCUGUAUAAAGUGGCUUCUCUUUUUUUCUUUUGAGAAAAUAAGCUUUAUAUAUCUCCCUUUAGUAAAAACCCUAAGCUCCAAGAAUGCCCAAAAUAAAACUCACGUUACUUUUCAUUUAAUAGGGGACCCCACCAUGUAAAAUAACAUAAGGCCUCUUACACAUAAGCUUAUUAAAUGGAGCCUCCCACUAAAUGAUAUAUUUAGGCUUUUGACCCAAAUAGCUAGUUAUCUUGCUUAUUAGUCCAGUAGUAGUGCAGUCAAUUAAAUGAGCUAACCCGGGGAUCAUUUGGGAACAUACAAUAGUGGCUAUAACAAUUAGGCCUGUAAUUAAACUAACUUAAUUAUUUAAUUCCAAAUCUACUCCACUAAAAGAUUGGAACUGACUUCCAUAAUUGUAUGCUCGAAUAAUAAUUCGUCCAAAGCCACAUUGAUUUCUUUACUGCACAAUCCUUUGUACCACAUCGUUAAUUAAAUUGAUAUCUCAACUGUCCAAUCAAUUUAAUAACAUCUUAUUCCUUGAUCCUUACUGAUUUUCUCUAAUGAUCAUUUUCAACAUACUAAAUAUGUUGACACACUUUGGCCAGAGAAUUCUAUGAUCAAGUGCCGAAAACCCAUCAAGAGAUGUGUUGUACAAAUUCUAUAUUGUUAAUCCAUAACUCCAAUACUCAUAAUUGCUCCCACCAAGAUACCGAGUAAUCUUGACCACAAUGAUGUGUCGUGCCCAUUGGUAACUCAAAUGGAAUAACAAUUACAAUCAUGAAAUCAUAAUUAACUCAAGAUUAAGAUUACAGUAAAAUCAAUGCCUAUAAGAUUUAAUAAGUCUGACAAUUAUUACAAAGUUAAUUAAAUCUCAUAUGUGAUCAUGUUCAAUGUAGUUGUACUACAUCAACAAAUUCAUACAUGAUUAAGACAAAUCAUUCAAUGAAUUUAUUACAGUCUAUACCUAAAUAAAGUGCCCAACUUUAUUUAUCAACUGCGAACUAAAUUUAUUUAAUCAUAAGAUAACUUGUAUUUAUGUCUUCUGUGAAUCCACAUGGUGAUCACAUAAAUACAUAUAAUAUGAUUAAAUGGACUUUAAUACAAAUAUUAAUGCAAUUAAGAUAUUUGAAUAAAAUACCUCAUCCAUUUUAUUAAUCAGAAAAAUUAUUUAUUACAAUUAAAUAAACACAUAUGCUUUUAAAGAGCAUAUUUUCCCAACAUAUCUUUCCUUUCAUUAGGGAAAGCAGCAGCAAGGAUGCUGCUCAAAUUUUCAUUGUAAGCAGCAGCUCUUUAAUUCCCAUUUGUCAGCUCUUUGAUUCCCAUUGGAAAAUUUAGCAUUGCCCAUUCAUCCUUCCUCCUCUAUAUUGCCUUACAGAAUUAGGAGCCUGUAAUACAAAAUUUUUAAUCCCAAAGUUAAGCAGAAGCGCAACAAUUCCAAAUACAUCCUAAACUUGAUUUUACGUUACCAUUAGAAACAAAGGAGAAGGAGGAGGAGGAGAAAAUCCAUUAGGAAUCAUGCCACCAUGCCUGAACCCUGGUGCUUGGUACACUUGUAAUGCACGUUGAUAAAGGGUCGGAUCUUUUGAGAUAACCAAACUUAUUAAUAUUUUUCCAAACUCGAAGAAUUUGUCCACCAAAAUCUCCUCAGUCACAUAAUCAUCUAAAUUCUUGACGUACAGGUUGUUAAAUGAAGCACUUUCUUGAAUCCUGCCAGCCCUUCUGAUGAAUGGACCAACAUAGCUGCCAAUUAAUGCCAGUGAACAUUAUUAAUGCGACAAAUAGUAAAUAAAUUAGCAUAUACGCAAAGAUGACACAUACAACUGUGGCUGGAUCUAAUAACUGGUUGCACCAUUGUUUUGCCCCUUUUAUAAAAUGUAAAAUUAAAAUUUACUAUUAAAAUUGUCAAAAACCAUUACGUGUGGCAAUAUUCAAAUCCAAAUUUAAAUCGGCAUUGAAAUUUUGAGAUAUGGAUCCACAUUUUUCUGAUUAAAGGAAAUAUUCGUAAAGAUUGCAGGCAUAUAUUUUGCAUAUCUAGAUUCGCAUGAUUCAAAAUUCAUAUAUAAUUUAAAAUUUAACAAAUUUGCCUAAUAAAAUCCAAUUAUAAUUGAACGAUCAACAAUUCAACACCUAGAAUAACAUUCAACAAUAUUAAAUUCAUAAAUAAAAAUACCAUAAAAUAAAUUAAACAUCAAGAAUAACAUAAAUUUAAGUCUAACACCACUACAAAUCCAUAAAUACGAACACCACAAGUCCACUUAGAUUCAAUUUAAAACCAUCACAAAUAAAAACACCACAACAAAUCUACACAAGUUUGAUUUUUUUUAUUUAACAUAUAUUUUUAUUCAAUUUUAAUGUAAUAAAUAAUUUAAUUAAAAAAUAAUGUGGAUCCAAAUAUUCAAUUUUCUGAAUGCAUUUCCAUCCGAAUCCGUGCAUAUUUUAUUUUUUGGCAUCCUAAUCUAUACUUUUCAAUAUGUGGAUCCAAAUCUUUACAAAUCUGGGUCGGAUCUAGAUUUUUUUACGAUCCCUACAAACAAUUACCAUGUUUGAUAGGUUAAAAAAAUAUAGGCACACGUUAGACAAUAGUAUAAAGUUAGAGUAUUGGACUAUUCUUUUUAAAAUUAAAUCAGUCUUUUGUUUGGUGCUGCAAAGAUAAGUGAGGAUUAUGUACCUUAAGACCACACCAUUUAAUCUUGGACACAUACUUUUAUAAAGUAGAAUGAAAAAUUUUCCCAUAGGGACCCUAGGGAUAAUGUGGGAUAAUUUUUUUCAUGCUUAAAAAUAAUUGUAGAAUAACUACACAAUGAAAUAUCUAUAUCUAUUAUUACAUUAUAUUACAUUGAUUAAAUAUGUAUUUACUUCAAUAUUCAUUUUACUUAAAUAAUAAUAAAAAUGUUAGAAUUUAUAUUUUGUGUGUUUGUGUGUGUGUUUGUAUGUAUAUACAUACAUAUACACACAUAAAUGAUCAGUUACACACAUUAUUGUACGCGACGAGCCAUGUGUCAUUUAAUGAUUAGUUGUGUCGCACAUCUAAUUAUGUGUGUGCAUUAUAAUAAUAAUAAUAAAAUAAAAACAACUUAAAUUAAUAUUCAGGUUUUUUAUUUAAUAUUUCGAAUAUUCGUAUUAUUAAAUUUAUAUUUAUAAAUUUACUCUUAUAAAUAAAAUACUUUUAAAUAUUUAAUAAUUAAUAAAUCAAUAGUAAUAUACUUUAUUUUCUUAUAAACUGUUUUAGUAAAAUCCUACAUAGUAUACCAAACAUGAGAUAAUAUUAAAUAUAAAUCCAGCCCAAUCUUAUUUUAUCCUACUAAACCCAAUAUAUUAUUACCCAUAAUCCAUCUUAUAAAAAAAAAGUAAUUUAAGUUCUCGUGCUGACUGGAGCUGGAAACCUGAAAGGCGGAAAGCCUAGCUAUAGGGGUGUUCAGAAUCCAUUCCAAUCCGCUCAAUCCGUCUGAUCCGUAAAAAUUCGAUCUGUGGAUUAGUGGAUUGGAUUGGAUUGAAAAUUUGAUAAUCUGCAAUCGGUGGAUUGGAUAUGAAUCUACUUUUAUAAAUCCGUAAAAAUCCACGAAUACGCAAAAAAAUAAAGAGUAUUUAUUUAAUUAAAAAAACUUGUAAAUAUGACAUUAUUACUUACUAGUAAAUAAAUAAGUUAAAAUAUAGUUAUAUUAACACUAUAUUAUAUCUUAUCUGAUGAUAAUAUAAAAUAAACAAAUAAACAAAUAAAUAAAUAAAUAAAUAAAGCUUCUUAAAUAGUUAAUUUCCAUGUGCUGAUAUAAACUAAUGAGAUUUUUUUCGUUUUGGUGUGUUAUAUUUUGAAACUUUAAAUGUAUUUUCUACCUUUAUUUAAACAGUUAAUUUAUGUAAAUCUUAUUUGAUUUUAAAUUUCAUCUGUAGUAAAAUUAUUUUUAUAUUAAAUUUUUUUAUUUAGUUAGUUUGUGGAUUGGACAAAAUUAAAAAUUUUUAGUCCGCAAAAUAAUAGAUUAGAUAUGGAUUAGGUCAAAUCCGCAUCCGAUCCACAGAUAUAUGAAUUGAAUUUGAAUUAAAUUUCACCAAUUCGUGGAUUGAAUUAGAUUAAAAAUUUAUAAUCUAUAAAAUCAUGAAUCGGAUAUAAAUUAAUAGCCAAUCCAUAAAAUUCGAUUUGCGAACACUCCUAACUAGCUGAAGCUCUUACCUCAAUUUCCAGUUGAAAAUUAAUAAUUAAUAAUCACUAAUUAAAAAUUAAAGAUGAACGCUCACUAAUUAAUAAGUAAUUUAAGUUCCUUUUUAUUAUUUAUAUACACUUCCCAUCUUCCUCUCUCCUUCUCUCUGUUUCUUCUUAAGUCGUCGCUCUCUCGCUUUAUUUGUGUGACCAUCACUUCAAUUCGGUUCCUCAAAAUUUCCUUUCAUUUUACCUUUCUGCUUUCGACAAUGUCUCGACGUGGUGGCGGUGGUCGUAGGCCGGAUUCUCGCCGUGACCAGCCGACUCAGGCACGGGCGCCGUCAUUCCAGCGGGGUGGCGGCGGAGCCGCUGGACCACGCGGCCGAGGUCGUC
rnacentral:lncRNA from 1 species